rnacentral:lncRNA from 1 species
UAUCAUUGUCUGGGUUUGAUGUGAUGCUUCAAGAAAAAAAAUUUAGAAUUGUAAAAGCAUUGUCGUUUGCUUGUAUUGAUCGGUCUAAGCCAACAUCUUAUUAUGGUUAAUUGGACAUGCAGCAGGGUCUCCAAGCUACAAUUUCCCUUAGUAAUCAGUUUGAUUUAGAAGUCCUGUCUUAAUUCUGUUAUACAUUAAGAUGUCUAACAAAGAACACAGGAUAAAAUAGGAGAGAAUUCUAUCGUGAGUGAUGGAUUAGUGAUUUUUUCGACAUUUGAGGUCAGACUGAAAGCCAAAAUAGCAUUUGGAGAGGGAAAAGAUAAAAACAUCAAAGAAGCGAAUUAGUUUAAGGAUUUUUUAUUGUCAUGCUUCUAGUGUCUUGAAUUAGAUUAGUUGAACUGGAUUCGAUAAAUUCGGAUGUGUAUUGCGUUAUACUUAAG